rnacentral:rRNA from 1 species
GACGAACGCUGGCGGCGUGCUUAACACAUGCAAGUCGAGCGGUAAGGCCCUUUCGGGGGUACACGAGCGGCGAACGGGUGAGUAACACGUGGGUGACCUGCCCUCAGCUCUGGGAUAAGCCUGGGAAACUGGGUCUAAUACCGGAUAUGACUCCAUGACGCAUGUUGUGGGGUGGAAAGCCUUGUGCGGCUGAGGAUGGGCCCGCGGCCUAUCAGCUUGUUGGUGGGGUGANGGCCCUACCAAGGCGACGACGGGUAGCCGGCCUGAGAGGGCGACCGGCCACACUGGGACUGAGACACGGCCCAGACUCCUACGGGAGGCAGCAGUGGGGAAUCUUGCGCAAUGGGCGAAAGCCUGACGCAGCGACGCCGCGUGA